GAAAGUUUGAAAGCUCACUGCGGAAAGGGUUUUUACCAGUUAGUCAGAUUGCCCCAUUACGGGUAUGUUACGCCAGAAAGUUCCUCAAGCCUGUGCCCGAUAGCAAGGUAUGAUUCAAGACGAUUUAAAAAUAGGAAUGGAUCAGCUAACUAGGUACCUUCAAAGAUGGACAGACUCUUUUGUAAAACGGACCUAGGGAGGGCAAGCGG
rnacentral:lncRNA from 1 species